rnacentral:lncRNA from 1 species
CUCCCCGCCGCCCCCGGUAUACAAAUAUAAGUCACCUCCUCCCCCCGUCUACCACUACAGCUCGCCACCACCGCCGGUUUACAAGUACAAGUCGCCACCACCACCUGUGUACCAUGCCCCGGCUCCUGUUUACAAGUACGAGUCGCCCCCCCCACCGGUUUACAAGUACAGCUCCCCUCCACCGCCGGUCUACAAAUAUAAGUCGCCACCACCUCCUGUGUACCACGCCCCGGCUCCUGUUUACAAGUACAAGUCACCUCCUCCCCCCGUCUACCACUACAGCUCGCCACCACCGCCGGUUUACAAGUACAAGUCACCACCACCACCUGUGUACCACGCCCCGGCACCAGUUUACAAGUACAACUCGCCACCACCCCCAGUUUACAAGUACAGCUCGCCACCACCACCUGUUUACAAAUACAAGUCGCCACCACCACCUGUGUACCACACCCCGGCUCCUGUUUACAAGUACGAGUCGCCUCCUCCGCCGGUGUACAAGUACAGCUCCCCGCCGCCACCGGUCUACAAAUAUAAGUCGCCACCACCACCUGUGUACCACGUCCCAGCGCCGGUUUACAAGUACGAAUCUCCUCCGCCACCGGUGUACAAGUACAGCUCUCCGCCACCACCAGUCUACAAGUAUAAGUCGCCACCACCACCUGUGUACCACGCCCCUGCUCCAGUCUACAAGUACAAAUCUCCUCCGCCACCGGUGUACAAGUACAGCUCGCCACCACCACCGGUUUACAAAUACAAGUCGCCUCCUCCACCUGUUUACCACGCCCCGGCUCCAGUCUACAAGUACAAAUCCCCGCCACCACCGGUGUAUCACUACAGCUCCCCGCCACCACCUGUUUACAAGUAUAAGUCUCCACCGCCGCCUGUUUACCACGCUCCCGCCCCAGUCUACAAGUAUAAGUCACCGCCGCCACCUGUUUACCACUACAGCUCCCCACCACCCCCGGUUUACAAGUACAAAUCUCCUCCUCCCCCUGUCUACCACGCUCCAGCACCGGUUUACAAGUAUAAGUCUCCGCCGCCACCGGUCUAUCACUACAGCUCCCCGCCACCACCGGUGUACAAGUACAAGUCGCCACCACCGCCUGUGUACCACGCUCCAGCACCGGUUUACAAGUAUAAGUCGCCUCCUCCACCUGUUUACCACUACAGCUCGCCACCACCGCCGGUCUACAAGUACAAAUCCCCGCCACCUCCUGUGUACCACGCCCCGGCUCCAGUUUACAAGUAUAAGUCACCACCGCCUCCGGUCUACAAGUACCAAUCCCCGCCUCCAC